rnacentral:rRNA from 1 species
AGUUUGAUCCUGGCUCAGAACGAACGCUGGCGGCAGGCCUAACACAUGCAAGUCGAGCGCACCUUCGGGUGAGCGGCGGACGGGUGAGUAACGCGUGGGAAUAUGCCCUUUGGUACGGAAUAGUCCUGGGAAACUGGGGGUAAUACCGUAUGCGCCCUUCGGGGGAAAGAUUUAUCGCCAAAGGAUUAGCCCGCGUUGGAUUAGGUAGUUGGUGGGGUAAUGGCCUACCAAGCCGACGAUCCAUAGCUGGUUUGAGAGGAUGAUCAGCCACACUGGGACUGAGACACGGCCCAGACUCCUACGGGAGGCAGCAGUGGGGAAUCUUAGACAAUGGGGGCAACCCUGAUCUAGCCAUGCCGCGUGAGUGAUGAAGGCCCUAGGGUUGUAAAGCUCUUUCAGCUGGGAAGAUAAU